AUUGAACGCUGGCGGCAGGCCUAACACAUGCAAGUCGAGCGGAGCGGCGGACGGGGGAGUAAUGCCUAGGAAUCUGCCUGGUAGUGGGGGAUGACGUCAGGAAACGGGAGCUAAUACCGCAUCCUAUCAGCUGAGCCUAGGUCUGAUUAGCUAGUUGGUGGGGUAAAGGCCUACAAAGGCGACGAUCCCUAACUGGUCUGAGAGGAUGAUCAGCCACACUGGAACUGAGACACGGCCCAGACUCCUACGGGAGGCAGCAGUGGGGAAUAUUGGACAAUGGGCGAAAGCCUGAUCCAGCCAUGCCGCGUGUGUGAAGAAGGUCUUCGGAUUGUAAAGCACUUUAAGUUGGGAGGCGUUACCAACAGAAUAAGCACCGGCUAACUUCGUGCCAGCAGCCGCGGUAAUAC
rnacentral:rRNA from 1 species